rnacentral:rRNA from 1 species
AGCGAACGCUGGCGGCAGGCCUAACACAUGCAAGUCGAACGGAUCCUUCGGGAUUAGUGGCGGACGGGUGAGUAACACGUGGGAACGUGCACUCUGGUUCGGAACAACUCAGGGAAAACUGAGCGAAAACCGGAUGAGCCCUUCGGGGGAAAGAUUUAUCGCCAUUGGAGCGGCCCGCGUCUGAUUAGCUAGUUGGUGAGGUAAAGGUUCACCAAGGCGACGAUCAGUAGCUGGUCUGAGAGGAUGAUCCGCCACAUUGGGACUGGGACACGGCCGAACUCCUACGGGAGGCAGCAGUGGGGAAUCUUGCGCAAUGGGCGAAAGCCUGACGCAGCCAUGCCGCGUGAAUGAUGAAGGUCUUAGGAUUGUAAAAUUCUUUCACCGGGGACGAUAAUGACGGUACCCGGAGAAGAAGCCCCGGCUAACUUCGUGCCAGCCGCCGCAGUAAGAC